rnacentral:misc_RNA from 1 species
GUUGGACUGAUGGGUGGGAUGGAUUCCUUUUUUAUUCCUCACAGUAGCUUCUACACGAUGGAUAUAGGAAUUGAUGGUGAAGUGUCCCUCCCUGUACCUGGUCCCACCCUACCUUGGUCCUCCGCGGGCUCAAUAGGCGUGGCAUUUCAGGGCAAACCCACGCUAGUGGGCGGGUUUAGUUUAGCAGGAUACAAGCAUGGAAUUACAAACUUGGAAAAGGAUUCUUGGUUUACUUGGAGUUCAGACAUUUCAAGCUCAAGAGUUUCUGGAUUAGCUGUAGCAUUACCAGACGAUAUAUUCAUGUACUGUUAGUUGUACUUAUACAAGACGUUAAUUCUGUACUGCUUGAUGUACUUGUACUAGACGAUAUAUGUCUGUACUGAUGGCUGUACUAAGUACUUGUACCAGAGUAAAUUUCCCUGUACUUCGUGAUGGUGAAUAACUUGGUUCGUUUUUCAUAAACUUUUAAGGUUUUUGGUUUUAAGAGAUACCGCACAAAUACUGUGAAAUUGUUAAGAUUCAAACAUUUAAAAAGUGUAUUUUGAAAAAACAGAACAAUUGAUCAAUUUUUAUCCUCAGAAAAAUUAUAAGAAAAAAACGAACUUUUGGUUCGUUUCCAUGCAUUUAUCUUCUCUCAGCGCCAAAAUUUGUCAUAAUGGAAAGCAAAUGUUUAGAAUGAACAAUUUUGAAAUGGGAAAAACUAAACAAAUACUAAUAAAAACGAAGCAAGCUAUUGCCCAUUCAGUAGUACAGGCUGUACUCUUAGCUGCACUUGUACAUAGACAUUAAACAGGCAUUAACUGAAGAAAAAAAACCAUUAACGAUCGGUUAAUUUUUGUGAAUAGAAAUUCUUCUGUUAAUGGAAAUAUCUGUUGUCAGAUUCUAAAUACAAUAAAUGGCUGUAGACGUAAUUUCAAUUUACUCUUCAUACGGUAACUUGAAAUUCCGCCUAUAAUAUUAAUAGUCCCUUUACUUUAAACAUGUGAUUACUGAAAACUGAUUAUUAUGAAAUAAAUCAUGUAUCCUUGUA